rnacentral:rRNA from 1 species
AGUGAACGCUGGCGGUAGGCCUAACACAUGCAAGUCGAACGAGAGGCGGACGGGUGAGGACUACAUCGGAAUAGACUCUGUCGUGGGGGAUAACGGAGGGAAACUUACGCUAAUACCGCAUACGAUUGAAUGAGCAGAUGUCGGAUGAGCUAGUUGGCGGGGUAAAGGCCCACAAAGGAGACGAUCCGUAGCUGGUCUGAGAGGAAGAUCAGCCACACUGGAACUGAGACACGGCCCAGACUCCUACGGGAGGCAGCAGUGGGGAAUAUUGGACAAUGGGCGCAAGCCUGAUCCAGCCAUACCGCGUGGGUGAAGAAGGCCUUCGGGUUGUAAAGCCCUUUUGUUGGGAAAGCGGUACCCAAAGAAUAAGCACCGGCUAACUUCAUGCCAGCCGCCGCGGUAAUAC